GACGAAGGAUGCAAGCGUUAUCCGGAUUCAUUGGGUUUAAAGGGAGCGUAGGUGGCCUUAUAAGUCAGUGGUGAAAUCUCUGGGCUUAACCCAGAAAUUGCCAUUGAUACUGUAGGGCUUGAGUAUAGUUGCCGUUGGCGGAGUAUGACAUGUAGUGGUGAAAUACAUAGAGAUGUCAUAGAACACCGAUUGCGAAGGCAGCUGACGAAACUAUAACUGACACUGAGGCUCGAAAGUGCGGGGAUCAAACAGG
rnacentral:rRNA from 1 species